UUGCCCAUUUGAGACUGUCUGUGUUUUGAGUGGCCAUUAUGUAGGGGUAAAUCAAUGUCCUCUCAAAAAACCUGGGUCAGGGGUUUAACCUCUGCCUCUGAAUCUGUUGGGAGGAACAACA